rnacentral:lncRNA from 1 species
GUUUAAUGGCUUCUGUGAUGCAGUUUCUUCCUGUUCCGGAUUGUUUGAGCUCCAUAUAUAGGAGGUACCAUCAUCAUUUCAGAGACAUCAGUAUAAUAAGCCCAACGGGAGAAUGAUAUGGCAAUUUCUAAAUUUCCUAGAAGGAUCGCUCAGGAGGAUGGGCUUGAGCAGGCUGCCUUCCAUGUCACACCACCACUGGGCACAUUUUGUUUUUUGGCAACUGCCCCAACAGGAUUUUUUGUUCAUUCUGAAAAUCACAUCGCCAGAUCCAACACCUUUUUAUCCCAAUCACCAGUACAAGCCACCCGUAUCAGUGUACACUGUGGCUGACCGAUCCAUAGUGAUGCUUUGAGCACAAGGAAGGACUUUCUGGAAUCUACUUAUCUGACCAAGAAAGCUUCUUUCCAAAAGAAAUGCAAUUGUCUUGAGACUUCUUCCCUAGGGAUCUGAUCAACUAACCAGAAAAGAGCAACCACCAGAGAAGAGACUGUGGGUGUCAUUGUGACUGGCUGCUACCUCCCCAUGAGUCUUCUAAAAUAAAACCUGCAAAUUCACAUCUUCCCCAUGCUUCCAGAGAAUGCAUAUUCUUCCUUUGAAAAAAGAAAACCAGGUAGUCGUACAGUGUCCAGAAGGCAAAAGGACAAGUAUGCACUGCCCUACUUACCUACUUUCCACACUGCUGCACAGGAAAAUCUGACAGAGGACAAUAACAAACAUCUCACCAGCUCAUGCGUUCUUUUUUGAUCCUAAUUCCGAGAGACUCACCAAAGACAUGAAGAGAAAACAAACAAUACUUUUCUUGGAAAUAUUGUAAUUGCUGGUACAUUUGUUGUUCUGGCAUAAAGUAGAAAUUGUCAGGUAAACAUUGCUUCCUUUUGGAUCAAAAAGAAAUUUAACCAAAUAAAUGCAAGAGGUAUGAGGGAAGAUAAUGGGAAAUAAAUGAGAUUUGAGAAAUCAGUGGAGGUUCAAGUGGUUUUUUUUUUCUUUUGUAGUUGAUAAUACUCUGUUUUAAAUCAGUGAGUUUUACUUAUAUAUGCUUGUCCUUUUUUUUUUCUAGUUACCAGAACAAUACUCAGUGAACUUAUGAAUAUAUGGUAAAUAUUAAACACAUCCCACUUGGAUGAGAAGAUAUGUGAGUCGAUGAGUAUAGCUAAGUCUAAAGUUAGAUGUGUUCCAUAAACAUAGUGUUUAUGGAGUUGGUGCAUAUUCACUUCUCAGUAAG